rnacentral:rRNA from 1 species
GUCGAGCAGGGUCGAAAGACGGACUUAGUGAUCCGGUGGUUCCGCAUGGAAGGGCCAUCGCUCAACGGAUAAAAGCUACCCCGGGGAUAACAGGCUUAUCUCCCCCAAGAGUUCACAUCGACGGGGAGGUUUGGCACCUCGAUGUCGGCUCAUCGCAUCCUGGGGCUGUAGUCGGUCCCAAGGGUUGGGCUGUUCGCCCAUUAAAGCGGUACGCGAGCUGGGUUCAGAACGUCGUGAGACAGUUCGGUCCCUAUCCGUCGUGGGCGUAGGAAAUUUGAGAGGAGCUGUCCUUAGUACGAGAGGACCGGGAUGGACAUACCUCUGGUGUACCAGUUGUCGUGCCAACGGCAUAGCUGGGUAGCUAUGUAUGGACGGGAUAAGUGCUGAAAGCAUCUAAGCAUGAAGCCCCCCUCAAGAUGAGAUUUCCCAACUUCGGUUAUAAGAUCCCUCAAAGAUGAUGAGGUUAAUAGGUUCGAGGUGGAAGCGUGGUGACACGUGGAGCUGACGAAUACUAAUCGAUCGAAGACUUAAUCAAUUU